rnacentral:rRNA from 1 species
CAUGCAAGUCGAACGAGAGGACAUGAAAAGCUUGCUUUUUAUGAAAUCUAGUGGCAAACGGGUGAGUAACACGUAAACAACCUGCCUUCAAGAUGGGGACAACAGACGGAAACGACUGCUAAUACCGAAUACGAUUCGAAAGUCGCAUGACAUUCGGAUGAAAGGGUGGCCUAUCGAAGAAGCUAUCGCUUGAAGAGGGGUUUGCGUCCGAUUAGGUAGUUGGUGAGGUAACGGCCCACCAAGCCGACGAUCGGUAGCCGGUCUGAGAGGAUGAACGGCCACACUGGAACUGAGACACGGUCCAGACUCCUACGGGAGGCAGCAGUGGGGAAUCUUCCGCAAUGGACGAAAGUCUGACGGAGCAACGCCGCGUGAGUGAAGACGGCCUUCGGGUUGUAAAGCUCUGUGAUUCGGGACGAAAGGCCAUAUGUGAAUAAUAUAUGGAAAUGACGGUACCGAAAAAGCAAGCCACGGCUAACUACGUGCCAGCAGCCGCGGUAAUACGUAGGUGGCAAGCGUUGUCCGGAAUUAUUGGGCGUAAAGCGCGCGCAGGCGGUCUCUUAAGUCCAUCUUAGAAGUGCGGGGCUUAACCCCGUGAGGGGAUGGAAACUGGGAGACUGGAGUAUCGGAGAGGAAAGUGGAAUUCCUAGUGUAGCGGUGAAAUGCGUAGAUAUUAGGAAGAACACCGGUGGCGAAGGCGACUUUCUGGACGAAAACUGACGCUGAGGCGCGAAAGCGUGGGGAGCAAACAGGAUUAGAUACCCUGGUAGUCCACGCCGUAAACGAUGGAUACUAGGUGUAGGAGGUAUCGACCCCUUCUAUGCCGGAGUUAACGCAAUAAGUAUCCCGCCUGGG